rnacentral:lncRNA from 1 species
GCCAGCCAGGCAAAUCGCCAGAGGGAAUGCAAGCCAGGCAAACAGAACAGCAAGUGCAUAUUCCUGAGUGAGAAAGAAGCGGCCAUGCUUAAGGAGAGAAGGUGGCCACAUGGCAGAGUGCAAGACAGCAUGAAAUAGAUGAGCUCACCAAAAGAUCGUCAGGGACCAGACCAGCAUGUGCCUGGGCUUGGAGACAGGGAGGCAUGAAAAAAUUGGAGGCUACUUCGGCAACCUUCCUCAUGUGAUCUGGACCACGAUGGUGGAAGUAGAAACGGAUGCAUGGAUAAACAGAUACAACAUUUACUGCAAUUGCCAAAGAAGCUGCCCAUCACUGUCACGCCAGCUGCACAGUCUUCACUGAGGGAGCUUCCAAGUGCCAUUUUAUUAAUGUGGAGAGAAGAAUAACAGAUCAUAAAUGUUUGAGGUCUAUCCAGCCGGAGUACAGGGGAUUAUCUAUUAUCCUGUGAGCUCGUGUUUUAUUCAUCUUCGUGUUCCCGUGAAUUAUACAGUGCAAAAACUGCUUAGAAGGCUUCCCCUCCUAGACAGCCCAACAGCACCUCAACCUCAGCCGGAAUGAAACUGAAUGUGUUACUGCGCACCCAAACAGAGCUUCUCUUCCUGCUUUCUCUCUCCUGGUAAAUGUGGCACUGCCAUUCCAAAUCUGGCAUGCAUCCUAAGAUCCUUUCUCUCCCUUAUCCCCAUCUCCCAUUCAACUGGUUUCUAUAUAAUGCUACCUCUCCUAAUGUCUCUCACACCUAUAUCCUCUUCACUUUCUGUGGGGUUUGACCAGAAGCUCCUAAUCAAAUCUUGUCCGCAAACCUACCCUUUUUUGGUCUACCUUCAACAUUCCUAUCAGAGGCAUCAUUAUAAAACAAAAACAUGAUUAUGUCACUGACCUGCUUAAAACCCUUCUUUGGCCCACCAUUGCCUAGAGUUCUCUUGAGUUCAAGCUCAGCAUCAUCCCAAACCUGCAAAGCCCCACCAUGAACUGGCCUCUCAUCUCCAGCCAGUCAUCUCCAAGCAUGGAAGCUGUAGUCAAAUGACCUGCCAAGCAUGCGCACUGAGUCUAGGAGACUUCACUUUCACCCUGCACUUUGGUCCCACCCACACUCAUUAUCUUCCUGGAGAUCUCCAAAUCAUCCCACCUCUACCAUCCCCUCUUCUAAGAAAGCUUCUCUCACACAGUCACCAUCCUUUGCCAGGGCCCCAGGGCAGAAGUCAUCUGUCCCUCUUUUUAUGAAACUAUUCUAUCUUUGUUUACCACCAUAAGAAUUCUUGACCAGGCGCAGUGGCUCACACCUGUAAUCCCAGCACUUUGAGAGGCCAAGGCAGGAAGAUCCCCUGAGGUCAGAAGUUCGAGACCAGCCUGGCCAACAUGGCAAAAUCCCAUCUCUACUAAAGGUACAAAAAUUAGCUGGGUGUGGUGGUGGGCACCUGUAAUCCCAGCUACUCAGCAGGGUGAGGCAGGAGAAUCGCUUGAACCCAGAAGGCAGAGGUUGCAGUGAGCCAAGGUCACACCACUGCACUCCAGCCUGGGCAACAAGAGUGAGACUCCAUCUCAAAAAAGAAAAGAAAAGAAAAAGAGUUCUUAUCCCAUUGUAUUAAAGGCAAAUAUUUGUAUACUACUUAAGGGCAGGGCUGUUGCCUAAUUCAAUUCUCUCUUCAGCACCCAAGACUUUAUACAUAAUAGGCACUCUUUAAACAUUUACAUAAAUUAUACAUAUUUUAAACACAAAAUGAUUGAAUUUUAAAAUGUGUUUCCAACUUAAGGGCAGGGAUGUUGCCUAAUUCAAUUCUCUCUUCAGUACCCCAGACUUUAUACAUAAUAGGCACUCUUUAAACAUUUACAUAAGUUAGAGUAUACAUAUUUUAAACACAAAAUGAUUGAAUUUUAAAAUGUGUGUCCAGCCUGGACAACAAAGUGAGACUCCAUCUCUACAAAAACAAAAACAAAAAAAAAAACACUUUUAAUUAGACAGGUGCAGUGGAACGUGUCUGUAGUUCCUACUCGAGAGGCUGAGGCAGGAGGAUCACCUGAGCCCAACCUGGGUGACAGAGUAAGACUCCAUCUUAAAAUACAUAUAUAUAUUUUAAAUGUGUCAAUGCUGGAAGAUUUUUGCUUCUCUAUUCUCAACUGCAUGAGUACAGUAACUCUACUUAUAGAAUCUGACAACUGGCAUUUGAAAGACAUAUAAAUACAUAUAUACCAAUAUAUAGGGGCAUGUGUAUGUGUCCCAGAAACUUACAAUCAAUUUCAUUAUGGCAUGGUUACACUUUACACACAAAAAGUAGGUUGGCACUUGACAGGUGUAUGUGGAUAUACAUGAUGAGAUUUAAAGAGCCCAAGAUGAAGAUAUAAGUCUCAACGUUCCUUUAAAUGAGAUUAAAAUAAUUUUUCCUCACUUUAGUUUUAUUUCUCUUUUGUAUAUCAAAACUUUUGCCUAUAGAAAUUUCUUGAAAUCAGAAGUUUAAAGACUUCUUUGGUCAAUGAUUGGUGAAUGGGUUAAAGUGCUCUACAGCAUUUGGCUUACCAACCUGGAUGCCUAGCUUACCAACAUUGAUUCCAUUUGUUGAAGCUGUUGGACAACUAAUGGCUAUUAAGUCUAUCACGAUGACCUUCAAAGUCUUUUAUUUUUUCCCCUUAAAGCUUCAAACUGGAAAUUUUUGUGAGCUACUUUGAGAUAUU